rnacentral:rRNA from 1 species
GAUGGACGCUGGCGGCGUGCCUAAUACAUGCAAGUCGAGCGGUAAGGCCCUUCGGGGUACACGAGCGGCGGACGGCUGAGUAACACGUAGGAACGUACCCCAAACUGAGGGAUAAGCACCAGAAAUGGUGUCUAAUACCGCAUGUGGCCCACGGGCUAAAGCUCCGGCGGUUUGGGAACGGCCUGCGUCCGAUUAGCUAGUUGGCGAGGUAAAAGCUCACCAAGGCGACGAUCGGUAGCUGGUCUGAGAGGAUGAUCAGCCAGACUGGGACUGAGACACGGCCCAGACUCCUACGGGAGGCAGCAGUAGGGAAUUUUCCACAAUGGGGGCAACCCUGAUGGAGCAACGCCGCGUGCAGGAUGAAGGCCUUCGGGUUGUAAACUGCUUUUAUCUGUGACGAUUAUGACGGUAGCAGAUGAAUAAGGACCUGCUAACUACGUGCCAGCCGCCGCGGUAA